rnacentral:misc_RNA from 1 species
AAAAUUCACCUUAUUCUUUUACCCAAUAAUUCCAGUCUAUGCUCUCACACAGACAUGAACUUAAACAAAAGGUGACAAGGAAACUUAUGGAAAAUUUCAUGUUAAUCUCUGACAUAUUUGUGAAAAUUAGUUGAUCAUCAUUGUGGCCAUAUCUGUGUAACAAAAACUUUUUACAAGAUUGAUUAGAAAAAAAAUAAUUAUUGCUACAAAGACAAUAAUCCUUCCAUUCCCAUCUAAUUUGCCACUCUAAUGACCAAUCUUCUUAACUUGGCUAAUAAAAGUGGGAAAGCUAGGGUGCCACUCAGGGAAGGACCUUUAUUUGGUCUAUAAUUCUUCAUGCCAUGAAUACUAAUUUGUGGAAAAGGAGGCCUAAAAAGACAUCACCUGUGUUUGGUUCAGUAUUUGGGCUACUAGUCAAUGAUUUAAGGCGUCUAGUAGCGAAAUUUUUGAUGCCUAUCACUUAAGAUUUUGGCAAACAAGCACCGAUAGCUCAAAUAUUGUGUUAUUCAUUCUCAACUGCCACGUUAAGGGUAGGGGUAUAAAUUGCCGCUCAUGAGCUGUUCGAGGUUUAGUUCGAUAAAUGCUCGGCUUAAUUCGGCUCAUUUAGAAAAUGAGUCAAGCUCGAGUUCAAUUUUUACGCUCGUUUCUCAAGUUUCACAGUAUUCAGCGCGUUAAGACUCGUAAGCUGGCUUGUUUAAGGCUCGUGAGUCAGCUUGAGAAUAGGCUUGUUAAAUAGAUUCAUG